rfam:Felis catus isolate Cinnamon breed Abyssinian chromosome X, whole genome shotgun sequence.
GUAGUGCCCUACUUGAGAAGGUUUCAAUCACAUAGACUGAAAAUUGAUUGUCACCUUUUCGAGUAGAGUAAUGCA